rnacentral:piRNA from 1 species
CAAUUGAUUCUAGUCCUGCUU